rnacentral:rRNA from 1 species
UUCCGGUUGAUCCUGCCAGAGGUUACUGCUAUCGGGGUCUGACUAAGCCAUGCGAGUUGAGAGGGGUUAAGCCCUCAGCGUAAUGCUCAGUAACACGCGGAUAACCUGCCCUUGGAUCCGGGAUAACCCCGGGAAACUGGGACUAAUACCGGAUAGAUCACGGAUACUGGAAUGUUCCUUGAUCCAAAGCUCCGGCGUCCAAGGAUGGAUCUGCGACCUAUCAGGUAGUAGUGGGUGUAACGUACCUACUAGCCUACAACGGGUACGGGUUGUGAGAGCAAGAGCCCGGAGAUGGAUUCUGAGACAUGAAUCCAGGCCCUACGGGGUGCAGCAGGCGCGAAAACUUUACAAUGCAGGAAACUGCGAUAAGGGGACCCCGAGUGCCAGCAUCUAAUGCUGGCUGUCCAGCUGUGUAAAUAGCAGUUGUUAGCAAGGGCCGGGCAAGACCGGUGUCAGCCGCCGCGGUAACACCGGCGGCCCGAGUGGUAACCGAUUUUAUUGGGUUUAAAGGGUCCGUAGCCGGUCUGUUAAGUCUCUUGGGAAAUCUGGCGACUCAAUCGUCAGACGGUCAAGAGAUACUGACAGGCUUGGGACCGGUAGAGGUGGGAGGUACUCCAGGGGUAGAGGUGAAAUUUUGUAAUCCUUGGGGGACCAUCGAUGGCGAAGGCAUCCCACUAGAACGGGUCCGACGGUGAGGGACGAAAGCUGGGGGCACGGACCGGAUUAGAUACCCGGGUAGUCCCAGCCGUAAACGAUGCUCGCUAGGUGUCAGAUGCGGUGCGACCGCAUUUGGUGCCGCAGUGAAAACCUGAAGCGAGCCACCUGGGAAGUACGGUCGCAAGGCUGAAACUUAAAGGAAUUGGCGGGGGAGCACUACAACGGGUGGAGCCUGCGGUUCAAUUGGAGUCAACGCCGGG